rnacentral:rRNA from 1 species
AUGCAGCGCCUCUACUCUUGUUCGCGACCACUCGUAUCCUUCAUGGCCUCUGCUCCGCCUCGCUGGUGGCCGCCAGCGCUUGCGCGACAAGUUUUCGCACCCAUGGAAUCUCCCUAUCCACCUGUCCGUCGCGUUCACAGAUCUCCUCAUGGAUCUCAGAAUAUGGACGGCAGCAGUGGAGUAAAAAGCGAUGAAAUCAGUAAACUAGACAUGCGACUGCUCAUCUCUUCUGCCAACGAGAACCCUACCUUCAGUCAAGGCAUGAACAACGUAGAGAGGAGGCCGAUAACAAAGGUGUUUAAAGCCCAUGGUGAAGAUGCGAGGAAAACCAGCAUGGAUGUUAUAUAUGGUAAUGAAAGUGCCUGUAGGACAACCUUGGAGGUUAUAGAUGUUAUAGGUGGCAAACAAGAUACAUGGGGGAAAGCUGUGGAUGAUUCUGGUCAUGGGGAGGGAAUUGUGGCGAGCGAUGACGAAGAAUACGAUAGCUUGUUUGCAAAGAUGGUUGAGCAACGUUCUGAUGGUGUAGCCCCUUUGUAUACACUUCCGAAAUCCAAACACCGUGAUGGUUCUAUAUACAAGAGCACUGAUCCUAAUCCUUGGAGAAAACAAUACAAUAUUGCGGACUGUAAGGAGACUUGUUUGGAGGCAAUGAUGUUAGCAGACCCACCAGGUUGCUUCUACUUAAAUGGAUUUUGCCUGCGGCAUGCACCUAGUCACAUGUUCCAAGUUUUCUCAUUGAAGUUGGCUGAAAUUACUGGUGAUGAUGGGUUAGUACAGUUGUAUGGAUACAUAGCAGUGCGGGAUCAUCUGGAUCCAUUGCGUAAUUAUGUCGUCAAUUUUACCAGAGAUGCUCCCAUCACUGUGGAGAAGGGUUCUCUCAUCCACAUGACUGGCCCUAAGCGAGGGAUAGAUUUUCGUGACGAUAUUGUAAUUGAAUAUGACAUGAGGAUCAAGACAGGCGAAGAAGAAACGCAUGAUCUAUCGCUUAUAGAUGGUGCAUCGUUCAUAGGGAAUGUGGACGUAUCGAGCGCACGCGCACGUGCAAAACGUAUCCUUGGCAAUGGUGGUGCAAUUGACAUAACAGUAUCGCGUAUCGAGCACGCCGUUGAGGCGACUGUAGAAGUUCUUAUAUCAGAAGUGCAGAGGGGUUUCAAUUUGUGCCUUGGUUGUUUUACCAGUGAUUUGGAUGAAGAAAUCCAACUCUUUGAUGGUGCCAUUGGUGAGUCACGAUGCUUAAAGAGGUCUGUGGUUGCUGUAGCUAUACGUUCUUGGUUGGAGCUGAAGUUCAAGGUUGGCCCGGAGUCAUCCAGUUCAGCUGAACAUUGUUGUUCCUUCCGGGCGAACAGCCAUGGGCUUGGUACUCAGAAGAUAAACACUGGUUCUGCGUUGAUCUCAGUGAAUGUGACUUGGUCGCCAUUGCCUUGUGGGGCAUCGAAGUUUUUCUAG